CUCCUCCAGUAACACAUUGGAGGUAGGCCCUGCCCAGUGUCAAAAUAAACGGCGGCAUCGGAUAGAUGUUCUAAGGUAGCGCAAUCAAUUGCCUUUUAAUUGGAGGCGGGAAUGAACGGGUUGACGUGAGGCUAACUUUCUUUAACUAAGCAAUUAGAAACUUACUUCUAGGUGAAAAGGCCUAGGUAAGGUCGAGGGACGAGAAGACCCUAUCAAGCUUUAUAAGCUCCUUACCCUGCCAUAUUUUUGGGCAAGCGUAUGAAGUUUUUAGUCGGGAAAACUUCCAGAAAACCUGGGCACAAGUAUGCAACUGAUCUAUUAGAAUCGAUGAGAAUAGCUACUGUAGGGAUAACAGCUCAUUUUGCUUGGCAAGUUCGUAUUAAUAAGCAAGUUGGUGACCUCGAUGUUGGACUGGGAUACCCUUCAGGUUGCAGCAGCUUGAUAGGUUGGACUGUUCGUCCAUUAAAAUCCCACA
rnacentral:rRNA from 1 species